rnacentral:rRNA from 1 species
UACGUAGGUGGCAAGCGUUGUCCGGAAUUAUUGGGCGUAAAGCGCGCGCAGGCGGCUCGGUAAGUCCGCUCUGAAAGUCCAGGGCUCAACCCUGGGAUGCGGGUGGAUACUGCCGGGCUCGAGUCCGGAAGAGGCGAGUGGAAUUCCCGGUGUAGCGGUGAAAUGCGCAGAUAUCGGGAGGAACACCAAUGGCGAAGGCAGCUCGCUGGGACGUGACUGACGCUGAGGAGCGAAAGCGUGGGGAGCGAACAGG